GGGAGAGAGGACUCGAGGGCCCCAAAGGCCUCCAGGGACCCGCUGGACCUGUGGGUAAAGAGGGCGACGUCGGCCUCCCUGGUGAAGCUGGAGGUCCGGGUCCCAAAGGGGAGAAGGGCGAGGUGGGGCCUCUGGGUUUGUCCGGUCGAGAGGGCCCCUGGGGAACCCUGGGUGACAACGGAGAGAGGGGCCCGAAGGGGGAGAAGGGCCACAUCGGACUGAUGG